AAAAAUUAAAGAUUAUUUGAAGUUCUAAAUUGUUUAUAAUACAAAAAUUAAAACGGAACUGAAAAUAAAUAAAUAAAUAGAACUAAAAACAGGCGCCUGUAUAUGGACCGGUUCAUACGGUGUGCUGGAUAGUCUCCCAGCAUGCAGAGCGUAAUAUAGGAGGUUUUUACAUGGGCCGGCCCAGUCCAAGAUUUUGUGCUUUGUAAAACGUUUCUAUUACUUACCGGUGAUAUAGUGGGUAAUUUAUGUAAACUUUAAGGGUAAUUUUCAUGACGGACGAUCAGAAACCGUAUUUGCUUUUUUAUUAGGGGGCUGCUACCAAUCCACCGGUGGAUAUUUACUAAAAAUCCAUCACCUCCACAGCCGUUCGAUCUCGUCCAUAGCCGUCCGAUCCGCUCCUGAUUUAAUUCCUGAAACGACGUUCGAGUUCCAGAAACAAUCGCUUUGUUGCAAAAAAUAAACUUUGGAUCCAUUAAAUCCUGAAACAACGGUCGAGUUUCAGAAACAAUUUGCUUGUUGCAGGAUUUUUUCCUUCGUUUUUGCGGAAGAAUUUUUUGCAACAAAGAUCAUGUUUCAGGAAUUUUUGCAACAAAGGUCGAGUUGCAGAACCACUACUAGCGAGCAGGGAAACUCUUGGCGGCGGGGCGGGGCGGCCGGCGAGCUCUACGCGGCGGGGCGGCCGGCGAG
rnacentral:lncRNA from 1 species